GAUGCCUUCCAUAACGUGUAAAGUAAGAAGUUAGCCUGUGUUAAAAAGUGGUGAUCCCUGCAGAUUACCAAGGCAUCCAGUCUCCCAGCAAGUGCCAAGAGGCAUUCAUUCAAUGCUCCGCUGACACCAAUUUGCCCAAAGAAUAUUUAUGUGGGAGACUCCUCAGAUUGUGGAGACCCCAGAUUGUGGAGGCUCCUGGGCAGCUGGUCUUGUUGUGGACUCCUAAAUCUGGCACUGAACAAAAUUCUCUCUCUCUCUCUCUCUCUCUCUCUCUCUCUCUCUCUCUCUCUCUCUCUCUCUCUCUCUCUCUCUCUCUCUCUCUCUCUCUCUCUCUCUCUCUCUCUCUCUCUCUCUCUCUCUCUCUCUCUCUCUCUCUCUCUCUCUCUCUCUCUCUCUCUCUCUCUCUCUCUCUCUCUCUCUCUCUCUCUCUCUCUCUCUCUCUCUCUCUCUCUCUCUCUCUCUCAACUCUCAACCACUGGAUGGUAUAUCAGUUCACACAGCAAGAAGCCAAGGACCCACCGAGGCUGUCACUUGGAAGAGGUCAUUGUUGUUGCAUCCAGCAUCCCAGCCUGACUGCCUAGACAGGUCCCGCAGGUUGCUGAAUGGCAGAGGUGCAGGCUGCUCCACAGCAAGAUGUGAGACCAGUGUGGCAGAGUAUGAUGUGUACACAAUGAGGGACACACUGUAGCCAACCCAGUAGAUUACCCGUGCUGCAGUGCUGAUUGGGUCCUCACCUUGUUGUAGGAGAGCUGACAACAUGUACCAGCCAGCAGCAACUCCCAUGCUAACAGGCUUCUCCCCCGUGGGUAUGUAGCACCUCUGGAGUCGCUCGAUGAAGAAGAGGAUGCUGGCGAGGCCUGUCGUGUUAGCCGGGAUGCGCCGGUACAGAGCUGUGUCCGUUGGGGUUGUGUAGGCAAGCAUCUUCUUGGCAAGGUCCUCGUAGGUGGCCGCAAACAGUUUACGGCUGUGGGAUGAGAACUUGUCUUGUGAAUGUGACGUUGGGAGGAGGGAAGCACAGGGGAGGAGGAGGACGAGGAGGAAGAGAGUGAAGAGUCACAAGAGGAGGAGGAAGGUGGAAAGAAAGAGGAAGGAGAGGAGGAGGAGGAGGAGGAGGAAGAUGGAGAAGGAAAGGAGAAAGAUAAGAAGGAAGGCAAUGUAGAAUGGAGGCGUCCUUGGUUUAUGUUCAGUAAAGCCCCGUAUUCUUGUCAUGGCAAUGUAGAAUGGAGGCGUCCUUGGUUUAUGUUCAGUAAAGCCCUGUAUUCUUGUCAUGGCAAUGUAGAAUGGAGACGUCAUUGGUCACAUACUGUUCUAAUGUAAUCUAAUGUAAUCUAAUGGAAUCAUGAAGGUGUAAAAAUGCAGGAUAUGGACAUCAUCAGCUUUUGUCAUUAAGGGUGGUAAAGUGAAAGAUUUGUUAAUCACUUUGGUCUUUAGUUGAUGCUUCUGGUGAGGCUUUCCUGUUUAAACUUGGCAUAAUAUAUAUAAAAUGAUGUGGCAUGUUAAACAAGUUAACUUACUGCCUUCUUGUGUCUUUCACAGAUAGAAAUCAAAAACGUCACAAGACAGAAUAGUGAGCUGCAUGCACUUAUCACAGAGUAUAAAGUCACUCCCUCAGAGGAAAAAGACAAGGAUGGCAUGUCUUCAUGUGAGAACUCAGAAGCUAAAUGUACAGAUACCAAGGGGAAAUUGCUGGGUCAAGUGGCUACACUGACAUCUGAGGUUAGCAGGUUGGAGAGUGAGUGCAGCAGUCUUCAGGUUCAGCUAGACUGUGAGAGGGAUAAGUAUAACAAACUGCUGGGAGAAUCUCUUGCUCAUGAAAAGUUGUCUGAAGAUGUCAUAACUGAACCAAAAGGAGAAACAACAGGAUUGGGAGGAACUGAGCUUUAACAGAAGCUGCAACAACUGCAGGAGGCUCACAGGGUCCUGGAGAGCAGGUUAACUUGCAGCAUGAAGGAGGUGGCUGAGCUGAGUGACAGGAAGUAGCAGCUUGAGCAUGCUGUAGUGCAUGAGGAGACAGAGUCCAUCGGUGUGUGCAUGUUUUUUGCUCAUUUGAAUCAUCUGUAAAAGUGAAGUGGAGGAAGUGUUUACUGUUUACUGUAUGCCAUUUCCUUGGUCUUUUAAUGAAGAAUUUUAUCCUUCUUCAGGUGACUACAUCACCAUCUACCAGUUGCAGCGAGGAGUGAUGAAGCAACAAGCUCGAGAACGCGAGUUAGACCUUGCCAGCCUCCUUCAUGAAUGAGAGGAAAUGAAGCAAAACCACUCUGCAGGAUUUGAUAUCAAAGCUGGUGCAGGAAAAGGAAGCAGAUCAUGACCUUCAGCAGCUCGAGAAGAUAAGCAGCGUCCUUAAGAGUCCAGUUGCUAUCUUUAGCAGUGUUGGAACCAGUGAGUCUGAGACACCCACCAGCAGUGGAAAGCUGGCUGACGAGCGCCUCAAGCACUCUGAAAAGGUGGAGCAACAACAAGAAACAGAAAAUUGCAUCCAUCAUUCUUUGCCUGAGGAGGGAAUUGAUGCUCUGUUGACCCUUCACACUGAUGUCCCUCAUGAGGAGGCAGAAUAUGAAUCCUACAGAACUUGCCCAUAGAAAGACCAAAACUGUUACUGCUGCCACACUGCCACCACUUCCACUGACACCAAAAGCCCAACUGUGCAGAGAAUCCUGGACCUCCGCAAUGAAAUGGAGUCCACCAGUCACCUGGAGCACUUUAGCCUCCAAAAGUUCCAUCCGUGUCCAUUGUGUUUGGGUAAACUUAUCACUGUAUAAGGGGACAAGUAUCAGUGUAUGGUUACUAUAUACUCAUUUGUACUUAAAGAUGUCAUGUCACAUCAUUCUCUCUCUCUCUCUCUCUCUCUCUCUCUCUCUCUCUCUCUCUCUCUCUCUCUCUCUCUCUCUCUCUCUCUCUCUCUCUCUCUCUCUCUCUCUCUUUCUUUCUUUCUUUCUUUCUUUCUUUCUUUCUUUUGUUGCAUAUGUUACUGCUUUACAUUCCUCCCCACAGUAUUUUUUCAUCUACUUUAUGACUGCAGUAGUUUUAUCAUCCCAGUGUAUGCUGUAUCCACUCUGAAACUGUAAUUCACCAAUCAGCUCAAAUGUGUCUCUGUUUUGAUAAUCAUUAAUUUGUUUCAGCUACACAACCACUCUGAUAAGGGACAAAAUCUACUUCACCAGUCAUCUAUGUCAUACAGUCAUAUAUAUUCAUACAUAUGACAAAAUACUCUUCCUAAGACAUUUCUUAUUUUCUCUUCUCAAGUGACCUGUCCAUCUAUCUAAGGUACCACAUAACAUUUAAAACUUACAAUAUUGUGUUUAAUUCAUGAACACUUUUUUGUCUAUCUAUGGAGACUUGCGUAUAGACUUGAAAUGUAUUGGGAGUUUUCUUUAUCUCUCAUUCUAUACCUAACACCUGUUCCUAAGAAUCCCCAGGUGAUAGCCAUGGUGACUGGCUGGUCUCCUACUGAGUGGCUGGGGUUUUCCAAAAGUGAGGGUUGGUGUUCCAUACCAUACCAUGUGCCCUGUUUGUAUUCCUUCUUUGUCAGCCACGACGAACAUUGUGCAAAAUUAUUGUGAAUUAGUGAAUAUUUAGGUAUUUGUAUUAAAAAAGCGGUAUUUCGUCCAGCUCCAUUAUGACGCCCGUUGUAUACGUACACAAGGGAGAUGAGAAUGACAGACAGGAAUGGAUUGCAAGUUGUGUGGGCGAAAAGAAUGGCUGGUUGACCUGUCUGGCUCCUCUCUGGUGGUGAAAGCAAGUGACGGCAAGAUGGUGAUGGUGACCCUGCCCAACCCCCUCCAGGAAAACUUGGAGGAUGUGAUUGAGGUGCAGGGUGUGGGUCAGGGGCAGAAGGUGACGUGCCAGAGUUACGUCACGUUCCCCCAAAUGCAGGCCGGCAAGUUUGACAAGGGUUACUACCUCUACGCAGACAAAACCUAACCAACCAGCUUAACCUGAGUCGCCCCUGGAACCGCCCCACCACAGAGGAGGAGGAGGAGGAGGAGGAGACAGUCAUGGAUGAAGGGACGUCACAGAUCAUGCACAUUUGCUUCCAUAUUGGGUCGCGGUGGAAACUGGCGUACAGCUUCUGUGCCUGAGCCUGCUGUGGACGCAUUCCCAGCCCCCAAACUGAACGGUCAACCUGCCGCCAAUCUCAACUUCUACCAGAACAGCUUGGACAUGGCUGGCCAGGACAACCACCGCAACACAGACAUGCAUGCACCUGAUAUGGACAUGAAAAUGGAGGGACAGGAGUCCCACUUGAUGGUGUCCGACAGUGAUGCCUCAGUGCAGGAGGGGGAACGGCAGGCAGAGACCCGCAAGUGCCCCUGGGAGAAGCCUGGAGUGGCAAGUGUGUUGCAACCUUUCAAUUAAUGUGUGGUGGCAGGCAUCAAGGUGAAGGUCAACAGAAAGAAGGUGCCAGGAGCCAAGAACUUCAAGAUCCGCAGGUACGUGCAGCCCAAGAAUGCCGUCGUGUGCCUGAAUGAGCUGCGGCCGGGCGUCACCUACACCACGGAACAGGAGGGAGGCGUUUGCCAGCCAUUUUGCAUAUCUGUCGAGGUACCUGGUGCGGUUGACGGGCAGAAGUACCGAGGGUUUGGAUCUUCAAAGCAGCUGGCCAAGCAGGCGGCGGCUGAGGCGGCGCUGAUUGGCUUCUUGAAGCCGCCUGUCACCACACCAGAGAACAGACAAGACCCCCUGGGCCACCCUGGGGCUGACGGGCUGGCUCAGGAAGGCUUUCAUACCUGCAAUGUCAGAGCUACUCAGUCCUUAACACACUGCUACUUAACACUGCAGAGCUGUGGGUCCCACCACCACCUACUGCCCUGCACUGCUGCAGUCUGACUAGUCAAGGCUCAUGUGGGGCAUUCAGCCCUCUUAUAUUUUAAGGCUCAAUUUAGAAAACUCUAAAAUCUCCAUUAUCAACAUUCUAACAAAUCAUCAGUGAAAUUAACAUUAACACAAUCUGUAACUGCCAUGAGGCCACGGAGGAGUGUGGGGCCUCCCCACACUCCGUCUCUCCCUCCCUCCCUCCCUGGCGUGCACAAUCCUCACCAGGGGGGAUGGCGGCCCCACAGCGGCCGUCAAGGAGGAGAGUCCCCAGGCAGCUGCCUUCACGGAGGCCAUCUGUGCCCACCUGGGAGGCCGUGCCCCCAAUAAACACCCUGGCUGUGGAUCCCAAGGUGGGUGUGACUUGGGAUUGGCUGCUAGGGAACUUGGGAAAGGGACAGGGAUGGCUAGCAGAUAACUGUGGUUCAGGGUGUGGUGGUGGUGCUGCUGCUGCUGCUGCAUGGCAGGUGUGUGGCACAGGCACGACAGGUGAAGGUGUAGUCGCUGGGUGGUGUGACCGUUGGUGUGCUUGGCUCAUGGCUGGGAGGGUGUGGGGAGGGUCUUCCUUCUGUUGUGUUGCUGAAGGAAGAACCGAAUACACUGAGAGUGAAUGAAGAGCACUGACUCGAUUUCUGACCAUGACUGUAUGUACUCUCCCAUAGCAUUACAUUGUAUACUGAAAUGGGUUUGCCUGGUUGAACAUGUAGCACCGUACCACAACCAUUACACUCUGCCAUGACUGAGUCUGUCUAUGCUAGUCCUCAAAGUAUUGUGUGGCACUUUUUAAGCUAAUUUGCACUAUUGUUAUGGAAAGUCCUAACCUCUCAGGCAUAGUGUGUAGUUUGGGGACACUUGGUUCAUUCUACAUGGCAUGCUACUGAAAAACUGAAGUAAACAUGGAAAUUUUAAACCAGGGUGGUGUUCCUUGCCUCUGUUGGUGGUGUUGGAGUGGCCUGUGGAGUCAAAGUUGGUGUAGUCAUGUAAAGUCCUGCACUAUCUCUUGUCUGUGUGGUGUGCAGGUGAAUGGAUAAGGAAAGGUGUGGUAAUAGUGGGGAUCAGAACCUUGGCAGCAGGAUUUGGUUAUAUUAAAUGUUACGUGAAGAAAUUGAAGUGAAAUAAAGGAAAUUAGAUCAUGUUAGGUCAAGCAUUGUCACAGUUAAAGUGAAGAGAGAAAUUUCCUUUGUUUUUCCAGGUAUUUAAAGACAGGUGCAUAGAUACUCCUGGGAAUGAAAGGAAAAAUUGAGAAAUGGAGGAGGAGAAAAACCAAGUCAAUUGUUUUUUUUUUUAUUUUUAUGUAUGAGUGACACUGGCCAAGGGCAACAAAAAUACAAUAAAAAAAUAUGGCCACUGAAAUGCCAGUCCCAUAAAAGGGUCAAAGCAGUGGUCAAAAAUUGAUGAAUAAGUGUGUUGAAACCUCCCUCUUGAAGGAAUUCAAGUCAUAGGAAGGUGGAAAUACAGAAGCAGGCAGGGAGUUCCAGAGUUUACCAGAGAAAGGGAUGAAUGAUUGAGAAUACUCUUGCAUUAGAGAGGUGGACAGAAUAGGGGUGAGAGAAAGAAGAAAAUCUUGUGCAGCGAGGCCAUGGGAGGAGGGGAGGCAUGCAGUUAGCAAGAUCAGAAGAGCAGUUAGCAUGAAAAUAGCGGUAGAAGACAGCUAGAUAUGCAACAUUGCGGCGGUGAGAGAGAGGCUGAAGACACUCAGUUAUGUGUGUGUGUGUGUGUGUGUGUGUGUGUGUGUGUGUGUGCUGAUGCGGCUGAGAAGGUUGCCUUAUGAUAAUUAUUGACAAAUGAAGGUAAUGGAUGCGCAUGUCAUUAAUACUUUUUUAUGUGUGUGUGUAUGUGUGUGUGUUAUGUAUACACACAAACACACACACAUGCACAAAGAGAAGUAAAAGACACGCAUCCUUUACCUUCAACAACUCUCAAAGAUUUCUUACAAUAAUAAGUCAUCAUUCAUUGUAUCCUUUUUUGUUGGCCACAAGAUUAUCAUACAAAUUUUCCAUAGACAUCUGCAAAUUGGUACCUCUAGCUGUUAUUAAAUAUGAUAUUAAGUUUGAUAAAUGUAUUGAUUUCAUUAUACAUGAAAGUUGUUGAUUGCAAAAAAAAAAUAAUAACCAAAAUA